rnacentral:rRNA from 1 species
UCCCAUUUCCUAAAAUCUGGAAUUUUAGGAUAUUGUUUUCCAUUUAACCUAACCCUAUUCUCCCAUUUCCUAAAAUCUAAACCCCCAUAAUUCCGUGUCAUUUGGUAUCAGAGCCAUAAAUCCCUCCCACCCGUCGCUCCUACCAAUUGAAUGGUCCGGUGAAGUGUUCAGAUCCCGAUGAAGUGGGUGGGUUCCGUGCCUGCCACAUCAUGAGAAAGAUAUCGAACGACUCUCGACAUUGGACUUCCGUGCAAAAUCAUCGCAGUUGGUCUCAAACAGACUCCUCGGCAUCUCGCCAAUGGGCCAACUUUCUGCAUAUUGAAAAAAUGAACCAGUCUAACAUGUGUGCGAGUCAAAGGGUCAGAAAACUCGUGAGGUGCAAGGAAGCUGAAUGGUGGGAUCCCCUUGAGGGUUGCACCGCCGACCGACCUUUAUCUUCUGAGAAGGGUUCGAGUGUGAGCAUGUCUGUCGAGACCCGAAACAUGGUGAACUACGCCUGAGUGGGGUGAAGCCAAAGGAAACUCUGGUGGAGGCCCACAGCGAUACUAGCAUCCAAAUCGUUAGUCUGACUUGGGUAUAGGGGCAAAAGACUAAUCAAACCGUCAAGUAGCUGGUUCCCUCCGAAGUUUCCCUUAGGAUGCUGGAGCCCAUGGGUGAGUUCUAUCAGGUAAAGCCAAUGAUUAGAGGCAUUGGGGGCGCAACGCCCUCUACCUAUUCUCAAAUUUUAAAUAAGUAGGACAGUGCGACAACUUUGUUUAGCCGUGCCACAGAAUCGAGAGCUCCAAGUGGGCCAUUUUUGGUAAGCAGAACUGGCAAUGAGGGCUGAACAAAAAGGCGGGUUACAGUGCCCAACUGUGCGCUAACCUAGAACCCCAAAGGGUGUUGGUCGAUUAAGACAGCAGGACGGUGGUCAUGGAAGUCGAAAUCUGCUAAGGAGUGUGUAACAACUCACCUGCCGAAUCAACUAGCCCCAAAAUGGAUGGUGCUGAAGUGCGCAACCUAAACCCGGUCGUCUGGGUAGGUACCUUGGGCGUGAGCCCGAGCGGAGCGGCCGUCGGUGCAAAUCUUUGUUGUAGUAGCAAAUAUUCAAAUGAGAACCUUGCAGGCUGAAGAGGAGAAAGGUUCCAUGUAAACAGCACUUGCACAUGGGUUAGUCGAUUCUAAGAGACAGGGCAAUCCAGUCUGACAGCGCCCAGCGCGCGAGCAUCGAAAAGGAAUCGGGUUAAAAUUCCUAAACCUGGACGUGGCGGCUUACGAAAAUGUUAGGGUGUCUAGAGACGUCGUCGGGGACCUUGGGAAGAGUUAUCUUUCUAUUUAACAGCCUACCCACCCUUGAAACGUCUCAACCAGAGGUAGCGUCCAGCGGCUGGAAGAGCACCGCACAACGCACAAUGUCUGGUAUCUCCUCGACAACCCUUGAAAAUUCAGAGGACCGAGUGCCUCCCACGCCCGGUCGUACUCAUAACCGCAUCAGGUCUCCAAGGUAAAUAGCCUCUGGUCGAUGGAACAAUGUAGACAAGGGAAGUCGGCACAAUGGAUCUGUAACCUCGAGAAAAGGAUUGGCUCUGAGGGCUUGGCACGGGGGUCGCCGUCCUAAGAUAAGCUCAACGAGAACAAAAAUCUCGUGUGGAACAAAAGGGUAAAAGCUUGUUUGAUUCUAAUUUCCAGUACGAAUACGAACAGUGAAAGCGUGGCCUGUCGAUGCUUUAGACCUUCGAAAUUUGCAGCUAGAGGUGUUAGAAAAGUUACCACAGGGAUAACUGGCUUGUGGCAGCCAAGCGUUCAUAGUGACGUUGCUUUUUGAUCCUUCGAUGUCGGCUCUUCCUAUCAUUGUGAAGCAGAAUUCACCAAGUGUUGGAUUGUUCAACCACCAAUAGGGAAUGUGAGCUGGGUUUAGACCAUUGUGAGACAGGUUAGUUUUACCCUACUAAUGACAACAUCGCAAUAGUAAUUUAACCUAGUACGAGAGGAACCGUUGAUUUGCACAAUUGGUCAUCGCGUUUGGUUAAAAAUCAGUGGCGCGAAGCUACCGUGCACAAGAUUAUGACUGAACGCCUCUAAGUCAGAAUCCGGGCUAGAAGCAAUGCACCCGCCAGCCGCCCGAUCGCCGACCAAUAGUAGGGGCCCUCGGCCCCCAAGGGCACGCGUCGUUGGCCAAGCCCUCACAACCGAGCCGUUGCGUGGGCC